CCAUGCUCUGGAGAUCCUCUCAAUCAAACCCAGAAUAAUCUUCUCUCUCUCUCUGCCUUUCUUUAUAUAGCCCAACAAUUUCAGGGAUUUAAGUAUACAAUCAAGGCUUAUGUCAAGCAGCCAUUGAAGAUAGAAAUCAAGAAAAUUUGAGUGGUUGAAGCUUUGAAGGUGUUAUAGCAGCAACUAUGGAGGUUUCAAGAGUUUGCUUCUUAAUGUCUGUUUUUGCUAUUGUCUUGGCAUUGGCUAUUCCUUCCAUUAAUGCCCAGGCCCCUGCCCCUGCCCCCACAAGUGAUGGGGUGGCAAUUGAUCAAGGAAUAGCAUAUGCUCUGAUGCUGGUAGCUCUGGCGAUUACUUACAUGAUUCACUGAGAGAUAUAAAUAUAUAUAAUACAUGUGUUUGUACUGUGUAGGGUGGUUUGUAAUUGAUGGAGUAAUUGGGUAGCAGUAGACAUUUGAUUGUUAAUUUUAUUUCAAAAAUUCAUUUGCCUCUAUUAUUUAUUUCCUUUGUAUAAAAAAAAAAAACCAGCAAUUUCAGUUUCCAAUGUUCUAAUUUCGUUCUAUAUAGAAGUUUUUAUGUUCUUUA